rnacentral:rRNA from 1 species
AACGGAAAGGCCCUUCGGGGUACUCGAGUGGCGAACGGGUGAGUAACACGUGGGUGAUCUGCCCUGCACUUUGGGAUAAGCCUGGGAAACUGGGUCUAAUACCGAAUAUGACCAUGCACUUCCUGGUGUGUGGUGGAAAGCUUUUGCGGUGUGGGAUGGGCCCGCGGCCUAUCAGCUUGUUGGUGGGGUAAUGGCCUACCAAGGCGACGACGGGUAGCCGGCCUGAGAGGGUGACCGGCCACACUGGGACUGAGAUACGGCCCAGACUCCUACGGGAGGCAGCAGUGGGGAAUAUUGCACAAUGGGCGCAAGCCUGAUGCAGCGACGCCGCGUGAGGGAUGACGGCCUUCGGGUUGUAAACCUCUUUCAGCACAGACGAAGCGCAAGUGACGGUAUGUGCAGAAGAAGGACCGGCCAACUACGUGCCAGCAGCCGCGGUAAUACGUAGGGUCCGAGCGUUGUCCGGAAUUACUGGGCGUAAAGAGCUCGUAGGUGGUUUGUCGCGUUGUUCGUGAAAACUCACAGCUUAACUGUGGGCGUGCGGGCGAUACGGGCAGACUUGAGUACUGCAGGGGAGACUGGAAUUCCUGGUGUAGCGGUGGAAUGCGCAGAUAUCAGGAGGAACACCGGUGGCGAAGGCGGGUCUCUGGGCAGUAACUGACGCUGAGGAGCGAAAGCGUGGGGAGCGAACAGGAUUAGAUACCCUGGUAGUCCACGCCGUAAACGGUGGGUACUAGGUGUGGGUUUCCUUCCUUGGGAUCCGUGCCGUAGCUAACGCAUUAAGUACCCCGCCUGGGGAGUACGGCCGCAAGGCUAAAACUCAAAGAAAUUGACGGGGGCCCGCACAAGCGGCGGAGCAUGUGGAUUAAUUCGAUGCAACGCGAAGAACCUUACCUGGGUUUGACAUGCACAGGACGCCAGUAGAG